UAUUAUUCAUGGAUUGAAGAAAUCAAAAUGGCUGAAGAUAAAGAAUCAAUGUGAAACCAGUUACUGUCUUGUACUGAAGAUUAUUUGAAGGACUGUCAGGGAUUCUGCCUGAAAGUUUCAUCAUAAAUGACUUCCCACCACUCAGCUUUUCUGACUUCCUGGGCCUGCUCUUGCUGAGAGAUCUGUGCACUCGAUAGGCUUUUCCUCUGUCACCACUCUGUUGCUUUGACUCAUUGGGUUAGAUUGUGUCUGAAAUGUAGAGUUUUGUGCAUAGAGCUAGAAAACUUAAUUGAAGUUGUUAGAAUCACAUCUAAAAUAAAAAUGUAAAC
rnacentral:lncRNA from 1 species